ACAAUUAUUAUUGGGCUCUUCCCUCCCCCUUCACCGGGUGGGCGGUAGGUUCUCUAACACUUGUGUGCACUGUUUAUUGUCUCUCGGCGUUUGAGGGUUGGGUAAUGCCCUUGGGCUUUGGCCUACCCCCCGAGCGCCAAUUUUUAAACUUAAUUUUUAUACUAUAAGCCUUUAAUUUUAAAUUUAUAAUUUGAAAA
rnacentral:misc_RNA from 1 species